GCAGAUUUUAAUUUUUCUCCAUGCUUCUGUUUUUUGAGAUUCGGAGCGUAGCGAGGGAUCAAUUAGUUUUUUUUUUUUUUUUCUGUGUGUGAGCAACUUUUUUGCCAAAAACCUUGCUUCGACGUAUCAAGUGUAGCGCUUUUUCUGAAAAGAAAAUUUAUCUGGUUGGUGUAUCGAUAAGAAUAUUGUUUGAAUUUUCGAGGGGUUUUCAUAAUAAUUGAGAAAAACUGGAACAAAAAUUAUCGGAAAAACGGCAAAUAUUUACGCCGCGAUAUUACCGAUUUCAUUAUCAAAAAU